rnacentral:rRNA from 1 species
AUUGAACGCUAGCGGGAUGCCUUACACAUGCAAGUCGAACGGAGUGGCGAACGGGUGAGUAAUGUAUCGGAACGUGCCCAGUAGCGGGGGAUAACUACGCGAAAGCGUAGCUAAUACCGCAUACUUUUGCACCGGCCGAUACCGGAUUAGCUAGUUGGUGGGGUAACGGCUCACCAAGGCGCCGAUCCGUAGCUGGUUUGAGAGGACGACCAGCCACACUGGGACGUAGACACGGCCCAGACUCCUACGGGAGGCAGCAGUGGGGAAUUUUGGACAAUGGGGGAAACCCUGAUCCAGCCAUCCCGCGUGUGCGAUGAAGGCCUUCGGGUUGUAAAGCACUUUUGGCAGGAAAGCGGUACCUGCAGAAGAAGCACCGGCUAACUCCGUGCCAGCAGCCGCGGUAAUUC